rnacentral:rRNA from 1 species
CCCGUAAACCCCUGUCAUUUGCGAACAAAUUGACUCACCCAACACGUGCGUCAUUGAUUGUAGCGGAAGAGGAAGGGACGGCUAACUCUGUGC